rnacentral:tRNA from 1 species
GCGGAUGUAGCUCAGUGGUAGAGCAUCACCUUGCCAAGGUGAGGGUCGCGGGUUCAAGUCCCGUCAUCCGCUCGA